CUCAAAGCCAUAAUCCACUUCA
rnacentral:siRNA from 1 species